UGUAGGGACUAUUAUGCCUCUUGUACCAUGCUUAUAGGGUACAUACAGGUGUGCCACCAUAGGCCAGUGCCCUGCAUGUCUGUAGCAGUGGGAGUGGGUAUCUGUGGGCAGUAGUCUUGCUCCUGGGGUUACAGGCCGUUCCCAUUACCUGUGGCUGGAUCCUGAAAUGUAAGAAAACCCUAAAUGUUCUUUGGAUCAUGCGUUUUGAAGUGGGCCGGUAUAGAACCAACUUCUAUAUUGGGAUCAGCAGUCUGAGGAAUGAUGACACAAAAGGCCGAAUUGCAGCGCCCCCCCCUGGCAGGUUUCUCUCUCUGCGGGAGGCGUGAUGACAAAACUCCUUGAAGCGAACUGACAACUGACCUCAGCCCCAUGGGCCUGUCCUGCUAGGUGCUGUAAUAUGGGCGGGGCAUGGCAUUGCUGAACUAUCUGAUAAAAAUCUUGCGGGAUAUCUUGCUUGUUUACAUGGCAAUAAGCUGUUAGUUGAGGGUAGUCUUUAGAUAUAUAUUUUUUUAGUAAAGGUUGGUAUUAAAACAAUCAGCUAGAACAGAAUUCAGUGUCCACCUAUUGCCAACCCGGACAGGUGGGACUGUGAGUUAAGCAUUUUUGGAUACAGGGAAACUGAUUCUAAUCUAAGCAGUACUUCCAUGUAAUGAGUUCAUUACCAAUAUAAUAAUAAAGUGCUGGCUUUGCUGUGUUUGUAACCGCAGACCUAACCACAGGAUGCAGCACUUAGUGGCAGCUUCAUUAGAGGGACCCAGGAUUUCUGUGGCAGCUGAUUGGAUUUGCCCCUAAAUAUGGUUCGGCUAGAGAAGAGCAUUGCAUUGGGAUGAACUGACCCAACUAAAAUACAAGGCUCCUGAUGAGACAAGUUCGGCUAGAGAAGAGCAUUGCGUUGGGAAGAACUGACCCAACUGAAAUACAGGACUCCUGAUGAGAUAAUAUGACUGGACUGUCCUCUAAAUGACAAUAAGCCUCAGAUCUCCUCUAUCACCUUUCAAUGGGUUCUUCAGGAAAGUGAUAUCAAAGUGGUACUUUAAAUUCCCUGGAACAUUGUGUCCUGAUAUUGUAUUUAGUCAUCAACCUGCCCCUUACUCCAUAUUGUGUUCCUCGUCUGUCUUGUCUCAAUUACAUCACCGUCCCUGGUCUUCCCCCUCCUUUAUUCCCAUUAUACAUUUGAAUGUUUCUUUUAACAGUGCUGUAUAUACUAAUAAACAUU